UACAGGCUUAACACAUGCAAGUCGAGGGCAGCAUGGAGUUGCUGCAACUCUGAUGGCGACCGGCGCACGGGUGAGUAACGCGUAUCCAACCUCCCUAUAGUAGAGGAUAGCCCGGCGAAAGUCGGAUUAAUACUCUAUGUUUCCGUUGCAGACGAUCUAAGAUGGAACAAAGGCUUGCCGCUAUAGGAUGGGGAUGCGUCUGAUUAGAUAGUAGGCGGGGUAACGGCCCACCUAGUCGACGAUCAGUAGGGUUCUGAGAGGAAGGUCCCCCACAUUGGAACUGAGACACGGUCCAAACUCCUACGGGAGGCAGCAGUGAGGAAUAUUGGUCAAUGGGCGAGAGCCUGAACCAGCCAAGUAGCGUGCCAGGAUGACGGCCCUAUGGGUUGUAAACUGCUUUUAUAUGGGGAUAAAGUCACCCACGUGUGGGUGUUUGUAGGUACCAUAUGAAUAAGGACCGGCUAAUUCCGUGCCAGCCGCUGC
rnacentral:rRNA from 1 species